CUUUCGGUUAAUUACCGAAUUUCGAAAACAGUAUAUUCUAUAAUAUCCGUGAUGUGUCUUAAACUUACAACGAAAAUUGGGUAUGAAAUACAAGCGCUGUUAAGGAAGUCUAAGAACUUUUGGCUUCUAAAAUUACCUUACUCGUUAUAGACAAAUUUCAUUAUUUGUGGGAUGUAAGUAGUAAAGCUAAUCAAUUUCUUGAACAGAAACUCUUGUUUAAAACAGUAUUUGUUUUACUGGUUUAUGUAACGUAUAAAUAUCCCGUUUUUCUGAAAUUCUUCAACUUCGUACUUAACAUAAUUUGUUUUUCUUCAUUAAAUCUUAAACACCAGUAUAAUCCUGUUUUAGUAUCAUAAUAUAUAUGGUUCCGACUCUCUUUAGUAUUAAUUUAGUUACUUUAGUAUUAAUUUAUUUUUCACACUUAUUCCCUCCGUGAUAUUUUAGUAGUUACAGCAUUUAUUAAUAUAAAAUAUUAUAUGUUUACUCGAUAAAAAUUUGUUUAUGCAGAAUUUGAGCAUUUAAUAAUUCUUCCAUUAAUUUUAAAAUAAAAUUGGAGAGAAAAAAUAAUACGGCGCUAGUACAUUGACAAAAGUUAUCAAAUGCAUUAAUAAAAUGUAUUAAUGGCAGACGUUUGUGAAUUAAACUUUUGUUUGCUGUAGCAAUAGAAGCAUUUAUACUAUUUUUCCAAAUGUAACGUUCGUUAUAAAAUUGUAUGACUUUUGUAAAUUUAAAUAGGCAGCUUUACGAUCCAUUACCCAUGUUACCAUUUAGGUAAACUGUAAAGGUUGUUGAAAAUUCUAUAAAAUUAUUGUUGUA